CCGGAAGAGCCCGUCACAUGGCCGCGCGGCGCUGCCAUAAACACACCAAGAUGGCGGCCCUCACGCCGCCAGCCCGUGCUGCGUCAUGUCGCCGCCGGCCCCGCCGAGCCCGCAGGCUUCUACAGUGGUUUGUUAAAAUCGCGCUAAUCCAGAUGGGCAGGGGGCCUGCUGCUAGCGCGCCUCGCAAGCUGCCGCAGGAGCGGGGUCGAGAGCUGCUUGUAGUACUCGAAGAUACUUGACCUGUGCGUAGGGGUGGGGAGUCGCAAGCCUUGUGGGUUGUGGUCAGGGCACAGCAGUAAUUCCAUCAGUGUGAUGCUAAAGAAAUUUUGGUUCAUGCAAAACGAGUGGAAAAAAAAAAAAUCCAUAGAAGCACCAGCUCCAAAGGGACAGGAGGUGGGACUGGAGUUUAAAGACCAGCCAGAGAAACUUAAAAGGCUGUGACAAGUGAGAACUGGCAGCAAACACUGGAAACAGUAGAGUUUUUUUAUAAAAGCAUAUGGAAAUAUGCAAUGUCUUUAGCAAUAACAAGAACAAAAAUGUUUGCUAGACUCCAAAACUAAUGUGGGUUUUCCUCAAAAAGGGGGAUUCUUCUGAUGCUAACAGGGAACCUACUUAGGCUUUUUGUAUCAGGUCUGUGUGUCUUAAGGAACAAAGCAGAAAUCGGGGGGGUGGGGGUGUCGGUGUUAGGUGCAAGGGAGCAAACUAUUUGUAUUGGAGUAAGAGCUACAUCCUUUCUGGAGAAAAUGGCAUCAACCCUUACAACAUAUAUGUGUGCAACUCAAACAGCCCUUGUUCCAGAGGGUGCUGGGGAGAUAGUGUUCACCCUGGCAGUCACAUAUACUCUCCCUUUAAAGAGCGUAACAGUAACUGCUGGAGCACAGAGUAAAACCUAGAAACAGUGGUCAAGGCAUACUUGAGCUAUAAAAUCACAAUUCUUCUCUUGUCUCUUCAGCCUGUGAAAUGUAGGAUUCCCAAUCCUAUGUUUAUGCCAUUCUACUGAAAUGGGUAGAAUUUUUCUGCUGGAAUAGUAAUAGUGUUGUAAAAACACCUCAGAGUGAGAGCAAAUGGUUCAUUAGUUACGCAGCUUCCUUCCUUUUCAAAAGUCACCGUUGUAUAUUCAGAAUAUGUCAGUAUUUUUUACCGAGUUUUUUUGUUGUUUUUUUUUCCUAGCAGCAGCGGAUUCUUUAAUGAUUAAUCUGCAAAUGGUGGUAAAUCUGUGAGUUUUGGAAUAUAUGCUUAAGUCAUCUGUGUCGUCUUACGUCAGUAUUGCAUAAUCUGUUGGCUGUCCCCUUUUUAUGUAAUGUAUGUUUGUAGUUUGUUUUAAAAUGUACAAAUAUUUUUUUCCACUGCGUGCUUCUACUCAGAUAUUUCCAUAUUUGUCUCUCCGUUGCCCUCUUGAGUUAAAAACUUGUAAGACACCAUUUUGAUAGCUGGAUCCAGCUGAGUGUUACGUAUUUCUCUUUUAAAAACAGUCUCCAUAACAUCUUGAGACAUGCUUUUUUCCAGGUAAUUUAAUCAGAGUGUUACACCAUUUUUGGAGUUUCUGCUUCCUCCUGGUAGAAAUAUGAGAGCAACUUGUUCUGGUGAAGUCCAUCAACAUCAUAAACUUUAUAGAAAAUUUAGUAACACAUUAACUUUUACUAUGCAAAACAGUUGCGGUUUUUAAACCUGUUUCAGAACUCGGUUGUAUUUGAUUCCCUUAACCAAAGGUUGGGUGUUUGUGUAGGAGUAGUCGUUUUCAGCAAUGCCUGGUUUUAGGGAAGAAAAAAAAAAGUGUGUGUGUGUAAAGUAUAGGUUGAUGUAAGUUAAUAAUUUAACUAGUUUGCAGUGAAAAUGUUUAUUGUGCAAUUUUGUAUUUGGAUCCUAUGAUGUAAAAGUGCCAGCUGCAUACUUGGAGCACCUCAACCCUUUAAGUCCCUCUUCUGCUUACUCCAGCUGCAGUCCCUUAGGAACGCAGCUGGCUGCCUGGCAUUGGGUGCUGCUCCCGUCGAAGCCAUCAGUAGGCAUAGGAACGGGCAUCUGUGAUGCUGGCUCCAGAAGCACAUGUGACAAACUCCGAUUAAGCCCAGCCGAAUGUGUUCACAGUGCUGUAAAAUUCCACCACCUGCCAGCCCGCUCUGCUGGCGAAAGGCUGGCAGGCUUGGUGCAGUAUGCCGCGUGGUCAGGGCAUGGUGCUACCCUUGUACUCGUGCUGUUUGUGAUCCCGCUUCUCAGCUGUCACUAGUGGUGUAGUUCCAUUAACUUACCUGGCUGUCUGCCAUUAUACCCAUUGACUGACUGGUUCAUGACAUUCAGUACUUAAGAAGCAUGGACCAAACGCUAGGUUCUAGCUCUAGAAUUUAAGGGGGACAGAGGAGUGCCCCCAUUCACUGUAGUGAUAGUUGUAGAGUGGUUAGUUACCCUUUCUCCAACACAGCACUGGUGGAUUUGGUCAGAAGAAGCUGCUACUUAAAAAACACUUUGAGCUGCAUUGUAAAAGCUGCAGUGGUCAUUAAGAUAGCAUUAAUUAUCUGGAUAAUUUUCUGGACUGAAACCUCAGAUGUGAAGGCAACGCUCCAGAGCCUUUCACCUAGCAGCUUGGUGUCUCUUGGGGGUGAUGUGGGAUUUUUGAGACAUGUGAGGGCCGAGGAGACAGAGGACGUGCCUCCUGGGCUCGGCAGUGUUGCGGGGGGGCUGCAAUGACUGACAGGCUGCCCUGGCUCAGUUAUCACAGUGCUGAUGCUGUCUCUUGUAAAGGUACAGUACUGUGAUAACUGAAGGAUGGCAGCCAUCUGAGCUUCACGGGGCCCCACGCCGCUGGUUCUCUGUGCCCUGGGGACUGACGGACUGACAGAGAGAGCACAGCAUCCUGACCUGGAGUGAACUUGUUUUAAAUGAACCUCUUUGCAUAAAAGUCAAAGGUUACUGUUUUGUUUGAAUAAAAUAUUACACUUUAUUGUA